CACGUAGGGGGCAAGCGUUGUCCGGAUUUAUUGGGCGUAAAGGGCUCGUAGGCGGCCAACUAAGUCAGACGUGAAAUCCCCAGGCUCAACCUGGGAACUGCGUCUGAUACUGGAUGGCUUGAAUCCGGGAGAGGGAUGCAGAAUUCCAGGUGUAGCGGUGAAAUGCGUAGAUAUCUGGAGGAAUACCGGUGGCGAAGGCGGCAUCCUGGACCGGCAUUGACGCUGAGGAGCGAAAGCCAGGGGAGCAAACGGG
rnacentral:rRNA from 1 species